ensembl:lncRNA
GGGUAGAGAGAUGGAGGGGUAGAGAGAUGGAGGGGUAGAGAAAUGGAUGUGUAGAGAGAUGGAGGUAGGGUGGAGAGAUGUUGGUAGGGUGGAGAGAUGGAGUGGGGGAGAUGGAGGGGUAGAGAGAUGGAGGUAGGGUGGAUAGAUGGAGGGGUAUAGAGAUAGAGCAGUAGAGAGAUAGAGGUAGGGUGGAGAGAGGUAGGGUCAAUAGAUGGAUGGUAGAGAGACAGAGGUAUGGUGGAGAGAUGGAGGUAGGCUGGAGAGAAGGAGGGGUAGAGAGAUGGAGAGGUACAGAGAUGGAGGGGUGGAGAGUUGGAGGGGUGGAAAUGGAGGUGUAGAGAGAUGGAGGGUGGAGAUGGAGGGGUCGAGAGAUGGAGGGGUGGAGAUGGAGGCGUAGAUAAAUGGAGGGGUGGAGAUGGUAGGGGUAGAGAGAUGGAGGGGUACAGAGAUGGAGGCGUAGAGAGAUGGAGGGGUGGAGAUGGAGGGGUAGAGAGAUAGAGGUAGGUUAGAAAGAGGUAGGGUCAAUAGAUGGAUGGUAGAGAGACGGAGGUAUGGUGGAGAGAUGGAGGUAGGCUGGAGAGAAGGAGGUGUGGAGAGAUGGAGAGGUACAGAGAUGGAGGGGUGGAGAGUUGGAG